GACGGAGGGUGCAAGCGUUGUUCGGAAUUACUGGGCGUAAAGCGUACGUAGGCGGCGGAUUAAGUCGAAUGUUAAAGCCUGGGGCUCAACCCCAGAGAUGCACUCGAUACUGGUCUGCUAGGGGGCGAUAGAGGAAAGCGGAAUUCCCAGUGUAGCGGUGAAAUGCGUAGAUAUUGGGAGGAACAUCAGUAGCGAAGGCGGCUUUCUGGGUCGCACCUGACGCUCAGGUACGAAAGCGUGGGGAGCAAACGGG
rnacentral:rRNA from 1 species